rnacentral:rRNA from 1 species
AUUGAACGCUGGCGGCAGGCCUAACACAUGCAAGUCGAACGAGUGGCGGACGGGUGAGUAAUGUCUGGGAAACUGCCCGCUGGAGGGGGGUAACUACUGGAAACGGUAGCUAAUACCGCAUACCAUCGGAUGUGCCCAGAGGGGAUGAGCUAGUAGGUGGGGUAACGGCUCACCAAGGCGACGAUCCCUAGCUGGUCUGAGAGGAUGACCAGCAACACUGGAACUGAGACACGGUCCAGACUCCUACGGGAGGCAGCAGUGGGGAAUAUUGCACAAUGGGGGCAAGCCUGAUGCAGCCAUGCCGCGUGUAUGAAGAAGGCCUUCGGGUUGUAAAGUACUUUCAGCGAGGAGGCGUUACUCGCAGAAGAAGCACCGGCUAACUCCGUGCCAGCCGCCGCGGUAAUAC